rnacentral:rRNA from 1 species
AGUGAACGCUGGCGGCAUGCCUUACACAUGCAAGUCGAACGGCAGCACGGGAGCAAUCCUGGUGGCGAGUGGCGAACGGGUGAGUAAUGCAUCGGAACGUGCCCAGUCGUGGGGGAUAACGUAGCGAAAGUUACGCUAAUACCGCAUACGUCCUGAGGGAGAAAGCGGGGGACCGUAAGGCCUCGCGCGAUUGGAGCGGCCGAUGUCGGAUUAGCUAGUUGGUGGGGUAAAGGCCUACCAAGGCGACGAUCCGUAGCGGGUCUGAGAGGAUGAUCCGCCACACUGGGACUGAGACACGGCCCAGACUCCUACGGGAGGCAGCAGUGGGGAAUUUUGGACAAUGGGCGCAAGCCUGAUCCAGCCAUUCCGCGUGAGUGAAGAAGGCCUUCGGGUUGUAAAGCUCUUUCGCAAGGGAAGAAACGAUACCGACGAAUAAUCGGUGUUAAUGACGGUACCUUGAUAAGAAGCACCGGCUAACUACGUG